UACGUAGGGUGCAAGCGUUGUCCGGAAUUAUUGGGCGUAAAGAGCUCGUAGGCGGUCUGUCGCGUCGGCUGUGAAAACCCGGGGCUCAACCCCGGGCCUGCAGUCGAUACGGGCAGACUAGAGUGCGGUAGGGGAGACUGGAAUUCCUGGUGUAGCGGUGAAAUGCGCAGAUAUCAGGAGGAACACCGGUGGCGAAGGCGGGUCUCUGGGCCGUACCUGACGCUGAGGAGCGAAAGCGUGGGGAGCGAACAGG
rnacentral:rRNA from 1 species